GUAAAGAAGGUGGAACUUGAGGCACUCUAAAGUUCUUUGAAAUACCCUAAUAUUAUCUCAAAGUGUGCCCCUGCAUUGCAAAGCAGGCCACAUGGAAGAGGGCCUGGAUGCUGCUAUUGAAUUAGAAAUUAUCCUCCUGCGUAGAAAGUGUUUGUGAGCACCUGUUUAUGCACUGCAGUCGUGAGUGAGAUAGAAUCAUGUGAGGAGUGGACAGUCUGCCUUACAGCCCAUGCUCAGUACAUAUCCUAAUGAGGAAUUGGUCCCUGGCUGUCGUUGUCUCCACGCCCUUGAGUUGGACAAUGAUGCUGUUCUGUGAGGACAGUGUCCAAACCAGAAAGUCAAGAUGCCUCUUUGAGGAUCCGUCUGAAAACAAACAAAAUACGUGAAAUCCAGGAGAGCUGGAGUAGAAAACGCCGUGAAGGUAGCGUGGAGAGCAUCAGGGAGCAGCUGCUAUUUCAACACAGUGGGGACUUCGCACCUGGGCCUGAGGGAGCCUCACUGUUUCACUGAAUUUAUGUUCAUAUAUUUAUGAUAAUAAAUAUGUUCAUACACUUACGUUCA
rnacentral:lncRNA from 1 species